rnacentral:rRNA from 1 species
GAGUUUGAUCCUGGCUCAGGAUGAACGCUAGCUACAGGCUUAACACAUGCAAGUCGAGGGGCAGCAUUAAAGUUUGCUUGCAAACUUUAGAUGGCGACCGGCGCACGGGUGAGUAACACGUAUCCAACCUGCCGAUAACUCGGGGAUAGCCUUUCGAAAGAAAGAUUAAUACCCGAUGGUAUAUUUUCACCGCAUGGUGAGACUAUUAAAGAAUUUCGGUUAUCGAUGGGGAUGCGUUCCAUUAGGCAGUUGGUGAGGUAACGGCUCACCAAACCUUCGAUGGAUAGGGGUUCUGAGAGGAAGGUCCCCCACAUUGGAACUGAGACACGGUCCAAACUCCUACGGGAGGCAGCAGUGAGGAAUAUUGGUCAAUGGGCGCGAGCCUGAACCAGCCAAGUAGCGUGAAGGAUGACGGCCCUAUGGGUUGUAAACUUCUUUUAUAUGGGAAUAAAGUUUGGUAUGUAUACCAUUUUGUAUGUACCAUA